UACGUAGGGUGCGAGCGUUAAUCGGAAUUACUGGGCGUAAAGAGCUCGUAGGCGGUUUGUUGCGUCGGCUGUGAAAUCCCGAGGCUCAACCUCGGGUCUGCAGUCGAUACGAGCAAACUAGAGUGUUGCAGGGGAGACUGGAAUUCCUGGUGUAGCGGUGAAAUGCGCAGAUAUCAGGAAGAACACCAGUGGCGAAGGCGCUCUGCUAGGCCGUAACUGACACUGAGGGACGAAAGCUAGGGGAGCGAAUGGG
rnacentral:rRNA from 1 species